rnacentral:rRNA from 1 species
UACGUAGGGGGCAAGCGUUGUCCGGAUUUAUUGGGCGUAAAGAGCGUGUAGGCGGCUAGAUAGGUCCGUUGUGAAAACUCGAGGCUCAACCUCGAGACGUCGAUGGAAACCAUCUGGCUAGAGUCCGGAAGAGGAGAGUGGAAUUCCUGGUGUAGCGGUGAAAUGCGCAGAUAUCAGGAAGAACACCCGUGGCGAAGGCGGCUCUCUGGUACGUGACUGACGCUGAGACGCGAAAGCGUGGGGAGCGAACGGG